GACGAGGGACCCUAGCGUUGUUCGGAAUCAUUGGGCGUAAAGCGGGUGUAGGUGGCUUUGUAAGUCAGGUGUGAAAGCCCUGGGCUCAACCCAGGAAGUGCAUUUGAUACUGCGAAGCUUGAGUGCCGGGAGAGGUUUACUGGAAUACCUGGUGUAGUGGUGAAAAUACGUAGAUAUCAGGUGGAACACCCGGAGGCGAAGGCGGGUAACUGGCCGGACACUGACACUCAGACCCGAAAGCGUGGGGAUCAAACAGG
rnacentral:rRNA from 1 species